AGUGCUUUGAGACAUUUCUUUUUACAUGAAUGGCAAUGUAUCAACUCAAGGUAUUUCGUCAAUCUGUGGAAGUGUGAAAGCAAAGAAAACAAAGCUGUUUCUUCAGAUCCCACGUGGAGUAAAUGAGAAAAAGGAAAACGGUUUCCAGGAAUGGUAGUCGAGGUCAGGACCCUGAACUCAUUGAAGAAACGGAUUGAUGGGAGGACGAUCAGUUCACUCCUCCAGCAUGGUUAAGAGAAUAGACGGACCAUCUCCUAGCCUCCCACGCA